rnacentral:rRNA from 1 species
UACGAAGGGGGGCUAGCGUUGCUCGGAAUCACUGGGCGUAAAGGGUGCGUAGGCGGGUCUUUAAGUCAGAGGUGAAAUCCUGGAGCUCAACUCCAGAACUGCCUUUGAUACUGAGGGUCUUGAGUAUGACAGAGGUGAGUGGAACUGCGAGUGUAGAGGUGAAAUUCGUAGAUAUUCGCAAGAACACCAGUGGCGAAGGCGGCUCACUGGGUCAUUACUGACGCUGAGGCACGAAAGCGUGGGGAGCAAACAGG